GAUGAACGAGGGGGGAGGGAGGAAUAAAGGCAAGUCGAGCGAACAGACGAGGAGCUUGCUCCUCUGACGUUAGCGGCGGACGGGUGAGUAACACGUGGAUAACCUACCUAUAAGACUGGGAUAACUUCGGGAAACCGGAGCUAAUACCGGAUAAUAUAUUGAACCGCAUGGUUCAAUAGUGAAAGACGGUUUUGCUGUCACUUAUAGAUGGAUCCGCGCCGCAUUAGCUAGUUGGUAAGGUAACGGCGUACCAAGGCUACGAUGCGUAGCCGACCUGAGAGGAUGCUCAGCCACACUGGAACUGAGACACGGUCCAGACUCCUACGGGAGGCAGCAGUAGGGAAUCUUCCGCAAUGGGCGAAAGCUUGACGGAGCAACGCCGCGUGAGUGAUGAAGGUCUUCGGAUCGUAAAACUCUGUUAUUAGGGAAGAACAAAUGUGUAAGUAACUAUGCACGUCUUGACGGUACCUAAUCAGAAAGCCACGGCUACCUACGUG
rnacentral:rRNA from 1 species